GACGAACGCUGGCGGCAUGCCUAACACAUGCAAGUCGAACGAGAAAGUUCCUUCGGGAGCGAUUAAAGUGGCGCACGGGUGAGUAACGCGUAGACAAUCUGCCCUUCAGUCUGGGACAACUUUUCGAAAGGAGAGCUAAUACCGGAUAACAAUGUUUAACCUAAGUUAAGUAUUUGAAAGCUUUAUGUGCUGAAGGAGGGGUCUGCGUCCCAUUAGCUAGUUGGUAAGGUAAAGGCUUACCAAGGCGACGAUGGGUAGCGGGUUUGAGAGGACGAUCCGCCACACUGGAACUGAGACACGGUCCAGACUCCUACGGGAGGCAGCAGUGGGGAAUAUUGCACAAUGGAGGCAACUCUGAUGCAGCAAUGUCGCGUGAGUGAAGAAGGCCCUUGGGUCGUAAAGCUCUUUUAUGGGGGAAGAUGAUGACGGUACCCCAAGAAUAAGCACCGGCUAACUAUGUGCCAGCAGCCGCGGUAAUACAUAGGGUGCGAGCGUUGUUCGGAAUUACUGGGCGUAAAGGGCGCGCAGGCGGAAUAGUAAGUCGGAGGUGAAAGCCCGGGGCUCAACCCCGGAGGGUCCUUCGAAACUGCUAAUCUAGAGAGGGUCAGGGGCCGGCAGAAUUCCUGGUGUAGGGGUGAAAUUCGUAGAUAUCAGGAGGAAUACCGGUGGCGAAGGCGGCCGGCUGGGGCCACUCUGACGCUGAGGCGCGAAAGCGUGGGGAGCAAACAGGAUUAGAUACCCUGGUAGUCCACGCCGUAAACGAUGAGCACUGGACGUCCGGAGGGUUCGACCCUUCUGGGUGUUUCAGCUAACGCAUUAA
rnacentral:rRNA from 1 species